AUACGGAGGGGGCUAGCGUUGUUCGGAAUUACUGGGCGUAAAGCGUACGUAGGCGGACUGAUCAGUUGGGGGUGAAAUCCCAGGGCUUAACCCUGGAACUGCCUUCAAUACUGUCAGUCUUGAGAUUGGAAGAGGUGAGUGGAAUUCCUAGUGUAGAGGUGAAAUUCAUAGAUAUUAGGAGGAACACCAGUGGCGAAGGCGGCUCACUGGUCCAAUACUGACGCUGAGGUACGAAAGCGUGGGGAGCAAACAGGAUUAGAAACCCUGGUAGUCC
rnacentral:rRNA from 1 species